AUGGAGGGACCGGGGGGGGAGCCCCCGGGCACCGCCGCUCACCGAGGGUCCCGCGGGCUCCGGGAGCCUCCUCCGAGCGGGCUCCGGCGCAAGCGGCUGCCCAGACCGGGCUCCGGGACCCUCCGGUGGGGCUUUGCCGUGGGGUUCAGCGGGGCUCCGGGACCCUCGGACGGGGAUCUGCUUGCCGGGCUCCGGGACCCUCCGGCGGGGCUCCGCUGCGGGGCUCAGCCGGGCUCCGGGAACUCCCGACGGGACUUUGCGGUGGGAUUCAGCCGGGCUGCGGGACCUUCUGACGGAGCUCUGCGGUGGCGUUCAGCGGGGCUCGGGGACGCUCCGACCGGGAUCCGCUGCGGGGCUCAGCCGGGCUCCGGGACGCUCCGAUGGGACUUUGCGGGGAGGUUCAGCGGCGUCCGAGAUGGGGCUCUGCUGAGGGUUCCGGGACCCUCCGGGAUCAGACCCACCGGGGCUCUGCUGCGGGUUCCGGGACCCUCCGGGGUCAGACCCACCGGGGCUCUGCUGCGGGGCUCAGCCGGGCUCCGGUGCUCGCCUCCGACGGGACUUGGCGGUGCGGUUCAGCCGGGCUGCGGCACGGGGCUCCGGGACCCCCAGCCGGGGCUCCGCUGCCGGGCAGCCACUUCUCUGGGUCGGGGCUCGGCUCCGCUCCGCCGCUGGGCUCCGGGACCCUCCUCCGUCCGCCACGGCUCUGCGCUCGGGCCGGGCGGGCUCCGCCGCUGCCUGCGGCCGGUUCCCAAUGGCGAGGAGCGGGCAGCGCCCUGCCCGCCCCUUCCUGCCUCCCCUGGCACCUGCCCCGGCCCCACCUCCCCGGGCUCCGAGCCUUCGCCUGCCUCCUCCUCCUCCUCCCGCCGGGACACGGCGCCCUGGGGGCGGGGGCCGCUCCCCUGCCCGCCCCUGCCCGCGACCGGCGCCGCCGCCGCCGGCAGCUCAAUGGAGCUCGCCGCUUUUUAUACGGGGAAAACGAGGUACAGCCCCUCCUGCCGAGGCGAGGCUAAGCUCUCCCAGCCUAUCGGCAGCCCCAGAGCCCGCUUGGAUUUUUACAUCCCCAUGGAAACGCCCCCGGGGCAGCUGCCAAUCUCCGGAGGUGGGGAAUGCUGCGGGUACCCCCCUGGAAUGUCUCGGCCCCCGCAUCACAACGUGGGGCUUCAUCUCCCACCCUCCGCCCUGAAAUGAGCACGGAAUGGGGAGAAACAUCCUAGGAAUCCUGAUUUCCUGCUCCCCAAAAAGGGGAAAUAUCCGAAAAGGGGUUACUGAGCCUAAAUCAUGUUUGGUGCCAACUCGCUGAGGGAUCACAGCAUCGGAAUGCAGCCCCUUCCCCACCUCAGACACAGCCCAGAAUCCUUCCCGGAGCACUUCUAUCCUUGCAGAAAGUCAAAUAAAGAUAAUUUUGGGGAUUAU
rnacentral:lncRNA from 1 species